UACGGAGGGAGCUAGCGUUGUUCGGAAUUACUGGGCGUAAAGCGCACGUAGGCGGCUUUGUAAGUUAGAGGUGAAAGCCCGGGGCUCAACUCCGGAACUGCCUUUAAGACUGCAUCGCUAGAAUCCAGGAGAGGUGAGUGGAAUUCCGAGUGUAGAGGUGAAAUUCGUAGAUAUUCGGAAGAACACCAGUGGCGAAGGCGGCUCACUGGACCGGUAUUGACGCUGAGGUGCGAAAGCGUGGGGAGCAAACAGG
rnacentral:rRNA from 1 species